UAGUCCCGGCCGUAAACGAUGAUAGCUAGGUGUGGGGAGACACUCUUUCUGCGCCGCAGCAAACGCGUUAAGCUAUCCGCCUGGGGAGUACGGCCGCAAGGCUAAAACUCAAAGGAAUUGACGGGGGCCCGCACAAGCAGCGGAGCAUGUGGCUUAAUUCGAAGCAACGCGAAGAACCUUACCAGGGCUUGACAUACAGGUGAAGCGGCGGAAACGCCGUGGCCGAAAGGAGCCUGCAC
rnacentral:rRNA from 1 species